AUCGUAUCAGUCAGAGGAUGUCCAGAUAUCAGAUAUCAGAGGUGUAUACUGCAUGUUGCUUAUGUUCUGAGGAGGAAGUUCUUGCUCUGCAGUGAGAUUUAUGAUCAUAGAGCAAUUUUGCCCCAAAACCACACCUGCACCACUUUCCUGUUCUAACUGUUCUGAACUGAAACACUUCACUGUUUGCAGAAUUUCAGAGGAGCCUUGCUACACUCUAAAAAGUGCUGGGUUAUUUCUUUAAACACAUUGCUGGGUUAUUUGUGCUGGGUCAAAAUUCUGGGUUGUUUGAGGUACUGUAAACACAUAGUUGGGUUGAUCAUGCUGGGUCAAAUGGACUUUCACCACUGAACACGCGGGUUGGGUUAUUUUAACCCAACCGGUUUGUUUAUUUUUCCACUUCAUCGAACUUUCUGGAUUCUUCACUCGUCUCCUCGUCAGGCGGUCACGAAAUUCGCAGCAAGCAGGAUUAUACGAUAUGUGAGAUUCUUGCUGGUGCAGAUGGACAGCUUUGUAAUAUAGAAGUUGAAGGAAAGGCAGCUUUAUACCCUGGUUAAAAUCUUUGAAGAUUUCACAAGACUUCAGGAAGCUACAUCCAGAGGCAGACUUUUUGUAGACUGGGCUACAUUUGCAAGAUGGAAAGGUGCAUUAAGAGCUGGGUGACAUGACUUCAGAUGUUAAAUGGGAGAGUGCUUUCAAAGUCCUGCCCAUUCUGGAGGAAGGGUCCACAGAACCACAACCACAGAAUUCUGGAAGCCAUUCAUUGACAUACAAACCUGUGCAGACCAGCAUGGUGGAUUUGUGCCUUGGGGACGAGACAACGACAUCCCAGACCUUCGCCAUUGUUAUGGGCUGUUCCACUGAAGCCAUUGCCUUGUUGCCUGAAAAUUUCUCCAGCUUGCAGUAUAUUAUAUUGAUGGACUUAAGUCUUCAUGUGUGAAUUUUAUUUUUUCUGUUUUUUUUCUGGCCAGUUGUAACAUGUUUUCAAUUGUCAUAUGUUUGGCUUUGUUUGGCUUAGUUUUAAUAGCACAAUGUUUGGAAUGAUUCUCAUGUGGUAAUCAUUCAUUUUUGAGUGUGCUGCUGCUGCAAUGUUAACGAAGAAUCGGAAUCUACAGUGCCUAGUUUACACAGUUUUGUGUUUUAAAGUAACUGAUCUACUAAAAUUGUUGUUUUAUGUGUCUGUAAUGGUUGGACAAAAUGUUUUACAGCUGCACCCAUUUGAAAAUUGUUUUAAAAAGAAAUAAAACUCGUUAAAUUGA